rfam:Lachnospiraceae bacterium 28-4 genomic scaffold acPFn-supercont1.2, whole genome shotgun sequence.
UUGCGUACAAUCAGUUAUUUCACUUAUGAAAUGGUCAAUAACCAGAGUAAGCCCGCCAAGGAUGGCGGGCCAGGAAGCAUAGGCAUGGAUGCCGUUGCUUCCGACUCGUCCGGGUGAACACCAUAUGCCCAUUUCAUUAGUGAAAUCUGAUUGGAAGCUC